rnacentral:tRNA from 1 species
GGUGAGGUGUCCGAGUGGUUGAAGGAGCACGCCUGGAAAGCGUGUAUACGUUCAUAGCGUAUCGAGGGUUCGAAUCCCUCCCUCACCGCCA